rnacentral:rRNA from 1 species
AUUGAACGCUGGCGGCAUGCUUUACACAUGCAAGUCGAACGGUAACAGGCCGCAAGGUGCUGACGAGUGGCGAACGGGUGAGUAAUGCAUCGGAACGUGCCCAGUCGUGGGGGAUAACGCAGCGAAAGCUGUGCUAAUACCGCAUACGAUCUAUGGAUGAAAGCGGGGGACCGUAAGGCCUCGCGCGAUUGGAGCGGCCGAUGUCAGAUUAGGUAGUUGGUGGGGUAAAGGCUCACCAAGCCAACGAUCUGUAGCUGGUCUGAGAGGACGACCAGCCACACUGGGACUGAGACACGGCCCAGACUCCUACGGGAGGCAGCAGUGGGGAAUUUUGGACAAUGGGCGCAAGCCUGAGUCCAGCAAUGCCGCGUGCAGGAAGAAGGGCCUU